rnacentral:rRNA from 1 species
UACGUAGGGUGCGAGCGUUAAUCGGAAUUACUGGGCGUAAAGCGUGCGCAGGCGGUCAUGCAAGACAGAUGUGAAAUCCCCGGGCUCAACCUGGGAACUGCAUUUGUGACUGCAUGACUAGAGUACGGUAGAGGGGGAUGGAAUUCCGCGUGUAGCAGUGAAAUGCGUAGAUAUCAGGAGGAAUACCGAUGGCGAAGGCAGGUCUCUGGGCUGACACUGACGCUCAUGCACGAAAGCGUGGGGAGCAAACAGG